CUGGUAUUUUUUGCCUAUAAAUUUCUAAUAGUCAAUUCUGUUUGUUAAAUUUUGUUUCAGUAAUUAAUUAUGUUUUCAGUCUAUUUAGAACCCAAAAUGAUUCUGCACCUCUGGAACACUGCAGUAAAUCACUUCACUAAUCAAGCAUCUACCUCAGCCACCUCUUCGACCAGGGUGAAAUCAACUCCAUUGGGCUGCUGUCGAGCCAUAGCCUCCAGCUUAAGACGGUACCGUUCUGCCUCCUGCUCUUUCUUCAGGAGCUGGUGUCGGUAUUCCUGGGCUCUUCGAUUGGCCUCCUGGAGUUGCUGCUGCAGUAGCUCUCUUUCGCUGCCUUCCUAUAAAAGUACAUCAUGCCAUCACUUAAGAAUUCCUGACCACGGGUUAUCCAGAGAGUAGACAAAAGAAUGAAGAAGGGUUAAAGCCUUAGUAGAUUUCGUUUUGAAUCUUUCCUUUUGCCUCUCUCCAACACUGAUUAAAAUAUUACCUUUCUUUCUUCCACACUGUGUGUCAUCUCUUCUAUCCUUGGUUUCUUUGUAACUGGCAACUUCUCUGCUUCUUCUUCCUCUUCCUCUUCAAUUACAGUCUCUUCUGCAACCUGACCAGCAGGUACAGUUAGAACUACAAGACAAAGGACACCAUCAGAGGUGAUGAGUAUACAGUAAAGCCAAGAGGUUUUGUUUGCUUUUAACUAGAAAAUAACAAAUAUAUUCUCUAAUACAUUGUUUUUAAAGUCUGUAUUUUAGGAUCAAGGUAAGGCAUGGCCCUACUGACAGAAACAGAAAAGAUUAAAGAGGCAGUAAGAUGGGUCUGAAAGGAAGGAUACAGAUUCAUAGGUUCAGAAGGCAUGCAGCUAAGUCCCAGUACUGACGCUCAUACAGACGGGGGUACUUAGAAGUAUGUGGAUAAGUGGAAUUAAAAGACAUUUAUUUUGGUACAACAAUUCCCAACUUGACUCUCACUGGGAUUAAACAUGACAAUAGGUCUGAUCUGAUUUCAUCAUCAUUUAAAAAAAAUCAUCUAUUAUUUUUCACUUUAUGUUUCUGUGUGGGAGCAAACUGUUGAAAUCCUUACUUAAUGUAUACUAAGCUGAUCUUCUGUAUAUUAAGAUAAUCGAAAAUGAAUCUUGAUGUGAAUGGAAGGGGAGAGGGAGUGGGAAAGGGGAGGGUUGUGGGUGGGAGGGACGGUAUGGGGGGGAAGCCAUUGUAAUCCAUAAGUCGUACUUUGGAAAUUUAUAUUCAUUAAAUAAAAGUUAAAAAAAAAAAA